GUCUACCACCAUACCACCCUGAACGUGCUCGAUCGUGUCUGAUCUCGGAAGCUAAGCAGGGUCAGGCCUGGUUAGUGUUUGGGUGGGAGAGAGUGGCUGGGAAGUGGGGUUGAUG
rnacentral:rRNA from 1 species